GCAUGACUUGGAUUUAUGGCAGGUCCUGCUCCGUGGACCUCUCAUAGUGUACCCCAUGCCAUAGCAUCUGACCUCCCCGAACCAUUGGCUGGCCUGGUGUUCUGUCACUCCAGUCACUGAAGCGGGUGGUACACGU